AGCUAGCUACACAGGAAACGAAUCAUUCACACUCAGCUGUUGCUUACUAAGCACCUAACUAGACAUGUCUUACAUGAAAUGCACUUUGCUGGAAACACGCAACUAUCUGUUGUUGUUUGUACCUUAAAAAAAAAAAAAAAAACGGAAAGACAACAACAAUAAAAACACAUUCCCGACAGUGUCAACAGCAUUGGGACUCAGCAGUGUAGCUAGUUGGUUUGGCGCUCGAGUGGAGAGGAUGAGCGCGGACACCCUUGAGCUCGCGCUACCCGCCGUUUCAACAAGGCACACUUCCCCAACCGGCCUCAGCCAGCUGAUGUGCGGGUGAGCCUGUCCUGAAUCAGUGGGUGCUACACACUGGCAGAGAUGAAUUCCCCAUCAACUUCAUGAUCAUGAAAUGAAAAAUGCUUGCAUGAAUUUAAUGCAUAAUAAUAAAUAAAUAAAUAAAUAAUAAAAU